rnacentral:tRNA from 1 species
AGGAACUUAGGAUAACCAAACCAUGAGCCUUCAAAGCCCAAAAUAGGAGUAAAACUCCCCUAGUUUCUG